UACUCGGGAGGCUGAGGCAAGAGAAUCCCUUGAACCCGAGAAGCGGAGGUUGCAGUGAGCAGAGGUCAACGCCGCUGCACUCUAGCCUGGGCUGAGCCUGGCGUCCGGUUGCUAGGAGGCGCGUGUGGCCCGCGGGCUCUGGAGCGCCACGUUUGUCUCUAGUGCUGGAGGAAGGAAAGCAGGCUCGCGCUUCGAGGCCCCGCGCGAAGACCAACCCAGAGGAAAACUCUCAAAAAGAGACAGUUAUGAAUGCACGUGAGAAGAAAAUCUAGAGGGCUCUGGAGUUGCCAGAGAGCCCUCGAAUCAUUAAACAGUUAAAUGACUCAGAUGCAGAGCAACCAUUGGCAAUGAAUGCCUCACUAUAUUGCCCAGACUGGUCUCUGGGCUCAAGUGAUCCUGCUGCCUCAGCCUCCCAAAGUGCAAGAUGACCAGCCACCAGGCGCCAGUCUUUUUGAGGAGACAUGCAAUCAAAUCGGUGACACAUUUAAAACAGUGCAACUCAACAAAAAAAAUUAUUCUCAAAACUGUUUGCUUCAAAACACUCAAUACAUGUAAAUUUACAAACCUCAGAAAGUAAAAACUAAGUUUAAGUUAAAUUACACAAUAAGUAAAAAUAUAACCUGCUUAAGUUUAUCUUUAAUACUAAUAGCUUUCUACCUACAAUCCUAUUAAAUAGUAUUUGUGAUGAAUAUUUGAGGUGACUAGUAUAAUUUUGGUAUCCCCCAAAUUUCUACAUUCUUAUGUAAGUGGGGAACUUGCUUUAAACUGGCUAUAUAGCUUAGUUCCAACUGGGCUUCUCAUUUUCUCCAGCAUUAGAAAAAGUGCUCAAAUGGUUUUUAAGCUCUUAUCAAACCCUUCCUGCUUACUGUGAAAACUGUGGCAGAUAAACUGCUUGGUGCUCAUACUAAUAAAGUCUCUAAUGAAAACAAAGGAAUAGUUUGCAAAGCAUUUCAACACUACAAUUAAAAAAAUAAAAACAAACUUCAGUAAGGAAAGAAAAAACACUUCCCUAACAUUGACAUUAACCGUCAUCUCAAAGUAUAAGGAUAAAUCAAAAGUAUUAAUGUUCUGUGGGAUGGCAUAAAGAGAACAUGACAUACAAUUAUGUAAUAAUUUCACAUACUUUCCAAAGCAAACUAAAGAGGACAAGAUUUAAGCAGCUUCAAUAGCUGUCACUGCUUUUUAAAAGAAAAAUCCAUAUUGCUACAGUGACAUUUAUAAAAUAGAAUGCCAACUUCUUAAAUAUGCAAUUCUUAGGUUAAAAUAUUAGCUAAUUUUAACUAGGGUAAAUUCAGUGUUCCUUUUUGAUUCUCCAUUUCAAGUUGCUUUAGUUACUUCCUGGCCCCCUUUCUCUUGUGGAGACUGGUUUGAAAUUAAAGUGUUAAGCAACCCAGAAUUCCUGUUUUAUACUAAGGUAGUCUUCAAAAAUAACAAAACAAAGACCACCACUACUACACCACAAGGCUCCAAAGUAUAUCCACACAGACUAUAAAAUACAUGUCUUUAAUUACAAUGAGCCCCGCCCAUCUUUCACAGGCUACUUGACAAUCCCACUUGCCAAAGCAGGCUGAAUUACUGUAUGACAUUACAUCCAUGUUAGUAUCUAUGACAUAUACUACAGUCAGUUCUUUCAUACAAGUCUCUUAUUCUAAGUUGGCUAUUCAAUUUAUAACAAUCUAAUGGGUACAAUCUAGCUGAGUAUUUCUCACCUGCAAUCUGCUCUUCAGUCAGUUGGUCAGCCUACGAGAUCAAAGAGAUAGGUUAGUGACUUGAGAGCAUGUAGAUUAGCAGUUACAUAAACAAGUUUAAAACCUUUCAAGAGUUACCCUGUACUGUUUCAUUUAGUUCCAGCAACAAACACAUCUGGGUAGAAAAUGCACACAUCUGGUUUCUUAUCUUCAAAGCUAAGCUGUCUUAACUUCAAGUUUAAGAUACACAAAUACUUCGAAAUAUUUUUCAAAGUAUACUUUAGAAUCCAAAAGAAACAUCACUUCCUUUUUCAACAUUAGAAUAGCUAAACUUAAGCUUACUUCUAUGCCAGAAAUAAAUCACCAGAAAUUCCCAUUGAAUCAAAAUGCUUCAGGAUCACAAAAUGAAAAUUACUCCCACAAAUGGUUAAACACUUCAUUUUGAAAUGAAAGUGAUCUUCCAAAAUGUAAAAAAAAAAGGGGGGGGGGGCAAUAAGCUUUUAUUCCUUCUCACCCAGCAGGCAAAUGCAAAGAAUCCGGAGUUCUGAACAUCUGAACUACAAUACUUACCAAAUGUUUAAAAGUUCAGCCAUCCAUUUUCUCUUGGUUUUUAAAAUCCCAAAGUAAGGCUAAGGCUUGUGAUAUUUUUUAAUAGCACUUGGUUUUCGUCAGAAAAUAUUUUCUGGCAUUUGCUAAAACCUAUUAUAAAUUUUAUCCUUAUUCAAUCUUAACAAUAACCUUAUAAUGGUAAUAUCCCCUAUCUUACAGAUUAGGAAUGAAGCUAGGGUUAAAUGGGAGUGGGGAAGACAAAAUUAGUAGAACCAAAGUAAAGCACUAAGGUGUCAGACACACUCAGUAACUUUUAGCUUUUAAUUCAGACCACCGUAAUAUAUAAAGAUGAUUGCAAAAUAUCCAGACUCCUUGUUGUAUUCUUUGAACAUGUACUUUUUUCAAUGCUUAUUAGUACAUACAGCCAUGAAGCAACUGCUUAUGGAGUAUUGAGAAACACAGCCAAGAAACAGCCUCCUAUCUAAAAUCCCUCUCAACAUGGCAGUCAAAUAUACAAUGAUUAAUCCAUUCAUUUAUUUGUAGUAAAAGAAAAAUAAACAUUGCCUGGUUUCAUUCUUUUUAAAUGAACACAACCCCUGGGAAAAGUAACACCUUAAUGUAGAAUAGCCUCACAUUUUCUCUAGGGCACAGCAUGAGAAAAUUCGAGAAGGAAUUCAGAAAGUAGUUUAUUUUCCCUGCUCAACAAUUUUUACUUGACCAUGAUGUAAAUAAAAUUUAAAAAAAAAAAAGCUGGUAAUUUAAAACUGAAGAGACAAUAAUUAAGUUCAAAUAGAGUUUGUAAAAUAAAAAUGUAUCCACUUUUAUCCCUAACGUCCAAAUCCUCCAUCAACAAAUAUUGGGUGUGAAGUCAGUCAGUUUGUUUUCCCAAAGAAUAAGGUUUAAAAUCCAGUAAAUCUAUUGAGUUAUUUACUUUGUUACAAUAGAAGCUACAGUACUUCAGUUUAUUGCAUUUUGCAGGACUUCCAUCAUUUCUGAAAGGAAGGACUAUGGGGCAUGGCGUGUGGGUAAAGCAUAAAGUUCUG